GUAAAACUACCUAAUCCCAGGAGAACCUGGACUGGGAGUCAAGACAGUCUGGAGGAAAGCAUUGCUCUGACUGUCCACCUACUGAGUAUGUGCAGAAAAACUUUCU